AAGGCUGUCAUCUACUUGGAGUAUUGUUUGUCAGGGUCAAUUAAUAUCCACCAAACAUGCUUCGUUAAACUGGAACAAACAUGGCGUUGAAUCACUAACGCCCUGUUUUCCUGAUGGUAGGUCAUUUUGUGUCCUCACAAUUUAACGUUUGAAGGGAUUUCCUGUCUUUGAAGUGUAGCAGUCUGUCACCUGUUUGGCUAACCUCCUUAAAAGUUGAGACUAUUAGUGGCUCCAUGGUCCCUGGCUCAAGUUCCCAGCUUGCUGACUGCAGGGUUACCUGCAGCUGUGGGUAAGACUCUCUUUGGCAAGUCAGUGCCUGUGGAUCCUGUUCCAACCUUCAUUCCUCUAGGUCAAAGAGCCCAGAAGAAAAGCCUGAAGCCAUACACUUACCUGGAUAAAGCCAUAAAGAGGACUUCAGGAGAUCAAAGGAAAGAAGGUUCCCCAAGGACAGAAAGAACUGCAAAAUGGCUCUCUGGAGGAGGCAAUUACAACUGUCUUUGUGAAGGACUCCAGAGGUCAUGACAUGUGGUUUCACAGAUCCCUGCUGGGUAGCACAUCUGGCCCAGGCUAAGGUGCAGAGUGUCACUCAACACGAGAUGACUCCCCAGGCCACCCGCUCUCCAUCAGCACAACCACAAGCAUCAGCUUCCCUUCUCUCAACACUUGGCUUCCAGCCAGCCACAGACCCUAUGGAUGGAACCUCCCAAGGCCAAGAUAUUCUAUCACAGAAAUGAACAGUGAUAAGGCAUCAUGGCUGGGAGAAAAGUCAUACU